UAUACUAGAACCUGGAAAUGGGUAGAAGAAAAAAAAAAGCCAGAAAGAACCGAGAUAAACCAAGAGAAAGAAAGGAGAAGAGGAGAAGAAGAAGGAAGAAAAAGAGAAGAAGAUGAAAGAUAAAGGAAAUAUAAAACACUAGGAAACUAGAAUCUGGGAACUAUUCCAUCUUUUCUCCAAUUUAAAGUCCUGUUUGGCUGUAAUAUAAGAUAGCAGUCGAAUUGAGUAGCUUUGGAGCAUGUCAAACCACCUAAUUGAGCCACGCGUCAUAGGUUGUAUGAUUAUCAGAUUAUAUAUUUUGUUCUUUUGGGAUACAUGUAGGUUAAAUCAGAAAAGUUCAUUAUCGGCUCACUAGAUAUUUGGUAUUGCCAGCAUUUUAUUUGAAUAGUUUGUAUUUUGAGGGACUGUCGUACCCUAUUCAUAUUGUAGGUAUUGAUUCGAGAAAAAAAUGAUUAUUGUUCAAGUGAUUUA